UUCUAUUGAACACGCAUUGAGACUGGUAUUCUCAGAUGCUGCCAGCCCUUCUGUUUUUAUCGUUAACAGGACUUGGCCAUCUUCAAAGAAAUGCGGUAUGAGCAAAGCGGACAUGCCUGGCUGCCUUCGUCCCGGGCUUCUCAAUUUAUUGUUAUUACACAGUAGCGUCAGGUAUUGACUGGGUCGAUACGUUUUGACUUGAUAAGGAGCUGGCUAUCUCUGCUGUCCCAUCUCCACCUCUGCCAGCUCCUGAUUGCUUCCUGGUUGUGGGGAAGACUAAGGAUACCAGUGGACCAGCUGUGUCUGCUUAAGAGAGCCAGGGACAAGAAUCUCUGAAAUAAUGAAGAAAAAGCUGCGGAGAGCCAGCCAAGUACGAAUGUUUAGACAGCAUGCAAUUAACUGGAGCCGCGGGCCGCACGCUGACGGGACAUGGUUUGAUGGUUGGUCUGGCUCUCUCCCUCUCUCUCUAUCUCUCCCUCCCCCUCUUGUCCCUUUUGAUUUUUGUUUUUAUUCGUUCUGUAAAGAGCGGGUGUGCAAGUCUUGAGGGCUCGAGGUUCUUGUCGCAAGUCUUUUUGUUGUUGUUUUGUUUGUAGGUUGUGCUGACGUCAUUAAAGGGUACCAUUACCACCAGUUUGGCUUGGACUGGGACCAGAAAAGGACCAGCCGAUGACGCCUCUUUAAGUCCCUCGGAGACACAGCCUUGUUGCGGAGCUGGUUCACUUUUUCCAGUGGUUAAUCCCCUCCAUGGGUUUGGUUAGGACUUAUUAUGACAUCAUCCUAAAACAAGGUUGUGUUUAAGUCACUGGAAUUAUGAUGCGUCAAUGAUGCAUUUUUUAGUUGAAUGUAUUCAUUCAUAAGCUGACAUAAACGAAGGACAAACACAGCCGUGUUUAAUUUAGUGGGCUAUUAAAGUACUGUAACACAUGAAAUCUUUGCUGGCAGUAUUGCAAUGCCAUUACCAUGCUUUCACUGUGCUUUGUUACACCUGGCUGUGUUUUUACUAUGGGAAACAUUUAUAUGGGAUAGGUAUAUUUUAUAUGGGAUAGGUGUGUUUUAUAUGGGAUAGGUGUGUUUUAUAUGGGAUAGGUGUGUUUUAUAUGGGAUAGGUGUGUUUUAUAUGGGAUAGGUGUGUUUCAUAUGGGAUAGGUGUGUUUCAUAUGGGAUAGGUGUGUUUUAUAUGGGAUAGGUGUGUUUCAUAUGGGAUAGGUGUGUUUUAUAUGGGAUAGGUGUGUUUUAUAUGGGAUAGGUGUGUUUUAUAGUUGGUAUAUUGGAAUACAUACUCUCUCUGUCCCAUUUAAUGUUUGUCUUUUAACAAAACAGUCCACCAU